ACAAAGUCAUACUUAAAACGUACUCACUUUUAAAAAUAAAGAUCAUAGUUAAAUCUUUUAGCAUGAAACUGUACCUUAUACAUUUUUCAUAAAUCAUAUUCUCCAGGGUAACACAGUAACAUUUUUCACUGAAAAAAAAACCCUCAACCAUACAGCUGAAACUGCUUCUUUUAUAAUCCUCAAUUCAGUAUUAGCAUGACUAAGACUUGCCAUAAAAUUCAAGUCUUGUGACAGAAAAGGAAGGUCU